rnacentral:rRNA from 1 species
AGAGUUUGAUCCUGGCUCAGGAUGAACGCUAGCUACAGGCUUAACACAUGCAAGUCGAGGGGCAUCAGGAACAAAGCUUGCUUUGUUUGCUGGCGACCGGCGCACGGGUGAGUAACGCGUAUCCGACCUACCCAUAACACGGGCACAGCCGCUCGAAAGAGUGAUUGAUUCCCGAUAUGUCAUAUAAGUAGGUUAUAUGAUGAAAGAUUCAUCGGUUAUGGAUGGGGAUGCGUAAGAUUAGGUAGUAGGCGGGGUAACGGCCCACCUAGCCGACGAUCUUUAGGGGUUCUGAGAGGAAGGUCCCCCACACUGGUACUGAGACACGGACCAGACUCCUACGGGAGGCAGCAGUGAGGAAUAUUGGUCAAUGGGCGGAAGCCUGAACCAGCCAAGUAGCGUGAAGGAUUACAGCCCUACGGGUUUUAAACUUCUUUUAUAUGAGAGUAAUGUGCACUACGUGUAGUGUAUUGCAAGUAUCAUAUGAAUAAGCAUCGGCUAACUCCGUGCCAGCAGCCGCGGUAAUACGGAGGAUGCGAGCGUUAUCCGGAUUUAUUGGGUUUAAAGGGAGCGUAGGCGGGAUAUUAAGUCAGUCGUCAAAGCCUGUGGCUCAACCACAGCCCGCGAUUGAUACUGGUAACCUUGAGUGCGGAUGAGGUGGAUGGAAUUCGUGGUGUAGCGGUGAAAUGCUUAGAUAUCACGAAGAACUCCGAUUGCGAAGGCAGUUCACUGGGCCGCAACUGACGCUGAAGCUCGAAAGUGCGGGUAUCAAACAGGAUUAGAUACCCUGGUAGUCCGCACCGUAAACGAUGGAUACUCGCUGCCGGCGAUAUACUGUCGGUGGCCACGCGAAAGCCUUAAGUAUCCCACCUGGGGAGUACGCCGGCAACGGUGAAACUCAAAGGAAUUGACGGGGGCCCGCACAAGCGGAGGAACAUGUGGUUUAAUUCGAUGAUACGCGAGGAACCUUACCCGGGCUUGAACUAUGGUGGACCGUUCCAGAGAUGGAUCUUCCCUUCGGGGCCGCCAUGGAGGUGCUGCAUGGUUGUCGUCAGCUCGUGCCGUGAGGUGUCGGCUUAAGUGCCAUAACGAGCGCAACCCUUUCCGUUAGUUGCCAUCAGGUAAUGCUGGGGACUCUAUCGGUACUGCCAUCGUAAGAUGUGAGGAAGGUGGGGAUGACGUCAAAUCAGCACGGCCCUUACGUCCGGGGCUACACACGUGUUACAAUGGGGGGUACAGAGGGCUGCCACUUGGCGACAAGGAGCUAAUCCCGAAAACCUCUCUCAGUUCGGACUGGAGUCUGCAACCCGACUCCACGAAGCUGGAUUCGCUAGUAAUCGCGCAUCAGCCAUGGCGCGGUGAAUACGUUCCCGGGCCUUGUACACACCGCCCGUCAAGCCAUGAAAGCCGGGGGCACCUGAAGUCCGUAACCGCGAGGAUCGGCCUAGGGUGAAACUGGUGAUUGGGGCUAAGUCGUAACAAGGUAGCCGUACCGGAAGGUGCGGCUGGAACACCUCCUU